AAUAGAUACCCCGGUAGUCCACGCCGUAAACGAUGAAUACUAGGUGUAGGGGUUGUCAUGACCUCUGUGCCGCCGCAAACGCAUUAAGUAUUCCGCCUGGGGAGUACGGUCGCAAGAUUAAAACUCAAAGGAAUUGACGGGGGCCCGCACAAGCAGCGGAGCAUGUGGUUUAAUUCGAAGCAACGCGAAGAACCUUACCUAGACUUGACAUCUCCUGAAUUACUCUUAAUCGAGGAAGUCCCUUCGGGGACAGGAAGACAGGUGGUGCAUGGUUGUCGUCAGCUCGUGUCGUGAGAUGUUGGGUUAAGUCCCGCAACGAGCGCAACCCUUAUUGUUAGUUGCUACCAUUAAGUUGAGCACUCUAGCAAGACUGCCCGGGUUAACCGGGAGGAAGGUGGGGAUGACGUCAAAUCAUCAUGCCCCUUAUGUCUAGGGCUACACACGUGCUACAAUGGCAAGUCAAAAGNUGCAAUACCGCAAGGUGGAGCCAAACUUAAAACUUGUCUCAGUUCGGAUUGUAGGCUGAAACUCGCCUACA
rnacentral:rRNA from 1 species